AUUAAAGUGGCGCAGCGAAAGCAUGGUGGGCCUAUAACCCAUAGGUCCUAGGAUCGAAACUUGGCUUUGAUA
rnacentral:tRNA from 1 species